rnacentral:rRNA from 1 species
CUACGUGCCAGCAGCCGCGGUAAUACGUAGGUCCCGAGCGUUGUCCGGAUUUAUUGGGCGUAAAGCGAGCGCAGGCGGUUAGAUAAGUCUGAAGUUAAAGGCUGUGGCUUAACCAUAGUACGCUUUGGAAACUGUUUAACUUGAGUGCAAGAGGGGAGAGUGGAAUUCCAUGUGUAGCGGUGAAAUGCGUAGAGAUGUGGAGGAAUACCGAUGGCGAAGGCAGCCUCCUGGGAUAACACUGACGUUCAUGCUYGAAAGCGUGGGUAGCAAACAGGAUUAGAUACCCUGGUAGUCCACGCCCUAAACGAUGUCGAUUAGCUGUUGGGCAACUUGAUUGCUUGGUAGCGUAGCUAACGCGUGAAAUUGACCGCCUGGGGAGUACGGUCGCAAGAUUAAAACUCAAAGGAAUUGACGGGGACCCGCACAAGCGGUGGAUGAUGUGGAUUAAUUCGAUGCAACGCGAAGAACCUUACCUGG